GGAAGUACUCUCUCUCACUGGGCGAGUGACAGAGAUGAAAAACGAUGUUAAAAUUUAGGAAACUUUAUUUGGUGCAUCUUUCGAUAUCUCUUUUAUUCUCUAUGCAAAAAAAAAAAAAAUAGAGAAAAAAGAAACAAAAAUAGGGAUUAUAUAUUUGUUAAAAAAAAAAGAAAGUAAAUAAAAAUUCUUUUAAUGGUGAGUUGAUAUAACUAUGCCUUUUUCGUGGACAAGCAACUAUAUUAAAAGAAACUUUGCACAUCAAGGAAUAAAUAUGAUAUAUUUAUAUCAAUUUCUCAGGUACACUGUAGUUUAAUCUGACAAUUACUUUCGACAGCUAUGGCUGUGGUCCCAAGAAGAACGAAUGAUUUCUUUUUUGUUCCCGGUGUUUUCGUCGUCUUCUUUGUAUUUCUCACUUUUUUUGGUUUCCAAUUGGUUUCCAAUGUGUGUGUUUGAUAGCGCCGAGGCAUGUUAAUUAUAUGUCUUGCCAGAGGAGGCGUUACAGUCGCAACGAUGUCGUCACAGCCUAUACUCACCAGUGCCAUCUAACAAUGCAUUCUAGAAAUGCAAAACUGAUAAAGAAAUAAUGGCCAUAUUAGACGUAUAAGGUUAAGUUACCUUAAUCUUAUAAUCAAUCAUUGUUCAAAAAAUUGAUAGAUACGUUUGAUCCUAUGGUUUUUUAUAACCAUAUAAUUCCUUUAUGUAUAACACUUAUGUUAAGUUAAUACCGAUAUUCAAAUGAUAUUCAAGAAAAUCAUUAGCGUAACCAUAUUCUCAAUAUAUAUAGAUAUAUCAUAAAAUAAUAUUUUACUAUAAUGUCUUUAUUACGAAUUAUUCGAUAUAACGAAUUAUUCUUUAUUUUUCCUUUAACUGCAAGAGAACUCUUUCUAAAUAAUCCGUCCAAAAGAAAGAGUUAUGUCAUCGUUCAAUUCAAGAGAGAUUUCAAUGCCACAGUUAGUUCAUCUAUUAAAGAAGAGUACAAGAAACAAAAGAUUCUAUCAAACAUUUAUAAAGUUGGUUGAAGAACAUUAGCAACAGAUGUAACUAAACAUGAAAAAUAAAUAUAAAACAAGUUUUAUGCGAAGCAAAUAAACAAAAUAAUGAAGUAACAAGAAGUACUGACCAAUCACAUUUUUCAUGGAAAGACUUUUUGGAGUAUUUAUAUCCAAUUAUUUGGUAUUUAUUGAUUUCUUUGUCAGUAAGUAUGAAAAUAUUAAUAAAAAGUAAAUUAAGCAUACACAAUACAAUUAUCUUCCUUCAAAUGUUUAUAAAAAUGAUAUAACAACAAAUACUCUAAUCAAAUUAGAUUAUAGAUAGAUAUAAAAUUUAUUUAUCGACCAACAGAAAUUCAAUUUAUUAGGUAAUAUAAAUUUAAUUAAUUGUGCAAGUGUUGCGGUACCGGAUGAGAUAUUUUCUACCGUCUUUGUGUAAAUCCAUAUUGUUUCACUACAUACUGUAUAUUUUUUUAUUUGUAGAGCGCCCUAAUAGUUACAAUAUUAAAUUCUUGGAUACCGCAAUCUGUUGGUAAUAUUAUAAAUAUUGUGACAAAAAUAGUCCAAGACAAAAAGAUGAUUCUACAUUGAAUACUUUGGAAAUACUUCUUAGACCAACAUUUGUGCUGGCACAUAUAUAUGUUACACAAGUAUGCACAUUUUAUAUAUCUUCAAAAAUUUCAAAUAUAUAUUCACAAUAUGUACAUCGCAAGGCUAAAGAAGUUCUACACAAAUUGUUGGUUGUGUUAUUUCUGUAAUAAUGUUAUAGCCUCAGUUGAGAGUAUCAAUGUUAUUAUGUAUGCCAACAGUUACAUUUAUUGGUAAUCUAUUAGGAAAAAACUUGCGUAAGAUUUCUACAAAAA